rnacentral:rRNA from 1 species
AUUGAACGCUGGCGGCAGGCCUAACACAUGCAAGUCGAACGCGUGGCGGGCGGGAGAGAAAUGUCGGGGAAACUGCCUGAUGGAGGGGGAUAACUACGGGAAACGGUAUCUAAUCCCGCAUACCAGCAGAUGUGCACAGAUGGGAUUAGCUAGUAGGUGGGGUAAAGGCUCACCUAGGCGACGAUCCAUCGCUGGUCUGAGAGGAUGAACAGCCACACUGGAACGGAGACACGGUCCAGACUCCUACGGGAGGCAGCAGUGGGGAAUAUUGCACAAUGGGCGCAAGCCUGAUGCAGCCAUGCCGCGUGUAUGAAGAAGGCCUUCGGGUUGUAAAGUACUUUCAGCCGGGAGGCGUUACCCGCAGAAGAAGCACCGGCUAACUCCGUGCCAGCCGCCGCGGUAAUUC